rnacentral:lncRNA from 1 species
ACUGCAUCCUGCCAUAGGAGGGGCAAGGUGAGCUGAGGCCAGUAACUCAGGCUCCAAGGUGGGACCACUGGAGGAUCACCUUGCAAGGAGCAGCUUUCUCAACCUAACUUCAUGACACCAUUACCUGAGAACUAAAGGUUGAAGCAUGGCCAGCAUCCUGGACACACUGGCAGAGACCCCUGCAGGGCUGUACCUGUACGUGUGGCCACGACACCCCUGGACCCCACAGGAAUAAUGGAGUCUCUGGGAAUCUCAGCCUCUGGAAUGCGAUGAUGAACAGCAGGAUGCUGAGGGAUCUGUGAACAUAAGGGGCUUUGUUCCUGCCACCAGCAA